rnacentral:rRNA from 1 species
AACGAACGCUGGCGGCAGGCCUAACACAUGCAAGUCGAGCGAGGACUUCGGUCCUAGCGGCGGACGGGUGAGUAACGCGUGGGAACGUGCCCUUUGGUACGGAAUAGCCCCGGGAAACUGGGAGUAAUACCGUAUGGUGUCUUCGGACUAAAGAUUUAUCGCCAAAGGAUCGGCCCGCGUUGGAUUAGGUAGUUGGUGGGGUAAUGGCCUACCAAGCCGACGAUCCAUAGCUGGUUUGAGAGGAUGAUCAGCCACACUGGGACUGAGACACGGCCCAGACUCCUACGGGAGGCAGCAGUGGGGAAUCUUAGACAAUGGGGGCAACCCUGAUCUAGCCAUGCCGCGUGAGUGAUGAAGGCCCUAGGGUUGUAAAGCUCUUUCAGCUGGGAAGAUAAUGACGGUACCAGCAGAAGAGCCCGGCUAACUCCGUG